rnacentral:lncRNA from 1 species
GAAAAAGAAAAAUCAAAACACCUUGACAAGGAGCCGCGAUUUUGGUUUUUCAACUUACAAAAGCUAGCCGCUUAAAAACAGAGCAAAAAGCAGCCCAAUUUUGAAAUCCUUUUGGAGUGUAGAGAGUGAUGCUCACGCGCUGAACUGGGCUGAGCUGAGCCGAGUUAAGUCGCUGAGUGAGUGAGUGAAGUGGCAGGUACGGAUAACAGAGAGAGAAAGGCUAAAGGCCUAAAGCGGUGGCUUGCAUAGAUGGUGAUAAUUAUUGAGGAAUUCAGGGGAGGGGGGCACGGGAUUUAGUUGGUCUUCCACUGGGUCCCGUGGAACCAGCUUUUUUCUCCCCUCAUCUUUCUCGUCUUUGUGGGACCCCUUUUCUUCAAAGCUCGAAUUUCGGGCUCCAGCAGUUCUUUUGUUCUCACUCGAAGACAGGUUUUUUUUCUCCUUUUCCAGGCAAAACAGCCCAAUAGGUAGA